rnacentral:rRNA from 1 species
ACGUAGGUGGCAAGCGUUGUUCGGAAUUAUUGGGCGUAAGGGGCGCGUAGGCGGUUUGUUAAGUCGGCUGUGAAAGCCCGGGGCCCAACCCCGGAGGGUCAGCCGAUACUGGCAGACUAGAGUACGGAAGAGGUAGCUGGAAUUCUCGGUGUAGCGGUGAAAUGCGUAGAUAUCGAGAGGAACACCUGCGGCGAAGGCGGGUUGCUGGGCCGACACUGACGCUGCAGCGCGAAAGCCAGGGGAGCGAACGGGA